AUUGAACGCUGGCGGCAGGCCUAACACAUGCAAGUCGAGCGAGCGGCGGACGGGAGAGUAAUGUCUGGGAAACUGCCUGAUGGAGGGGGACAACUACUGGAAACGGUAGCUAAUACCGCAUACCAUCGGAUGUGCCCAGAUGGGAUUAGCCAGUAGGUUGGGUAACGGCUCACCUAGGCGACGAUCCCUAGCUGGUCUGAGAGGAUGACCAGCCGCACUGGUACUGAGACACGGUCCAGACUCCAACGGGAGGCAGCAGUGGGGAAUAUUGCACACUGGGCGCGAGCCUGGUGCAGCCAUGCCGCGUGUAUGAAGAAGGCCUUCGGGUUGUAGAGUACUUUCAGCGGGGAGGCGUUACCCGCAGAAGAAGCACCGGCUAACUCCGUGCCAGCAGCCGCGGUAAUAC
rnacentral:rRNA from 1 species